UACAGAGGGUGCUAGCGUUGUUCGGAAUCAUUGGGCGUAAAGGGCGCGCAGGCGGCCCGGAAAGUCGGAUGUGAAAACUCGGGGCUCAACCCCGAGCGUGCACCCGAUACUGCCGGGCUUGAGGCAGGUAGGGGAGAUCGGAAUUCCUGGUGUAGCGGUGAAAUGCGCAGAUAUCAGGAGGAACACCGGUGGCGAAGGCGGAUCUCUGGGCCUGUCCUGACGCUGAGGCGCGAAAGCUAGGGGAGCGAACAGG
rnacentral:rRNA from 1 species